rnacentral:tRNA from 1 species
AGCCCUUUAGCUCAGUGGUAAGAACGACUCUUAAUCGCUUGGUCGCUGGUUCAAAUCCAGUAAGGGCCACCA